rnacentral:rRNA from 1 species
UACGUAGGUGGCAAGCGUUGUCCGGAUUUAUUGGGUUUAAAGGGUGCGUAGGCGGUUUUGUAAGUCAGUGGUGAAAUACUCCAGCUUAACUGGAGGGGUGCCAAUGAUACUGCAGAACUUGAGUACAGAUGAGGUAGGCGGAAUUGACGGCGUAGCGGUGAAAUGCAUAGAUAUCGUCAAGAACACCGAUAGCGAAGGCAGCUUACUGGGCUGUAACUGACGCUGAGGCACGAAAGUGUGGGGAUCAAACAGG